rnacentral:lncRNA from 1 species
AGGCCUUCGGUCCAGCCCCAUCUCUGCUGGAGAGUAGAAUUUUUUCUUGUGCUCAACAGAAAAAACACGCUGUACCCUAAAAAUGCAGCAUGCAGUGUUUGGCUAUUCUGUAGUGUGUAUGUCAUCAACAAGGGCUGCAAUUUAGAAACUCAUAGGAUACAUGUUCAGUGGGAGAUAGGUAGAAUAAAUAUUUUGUAUUUUUCCAUAGCCCUUUUCUUGGUUUGGAUUACUGGACUGAAGUUAAUGGUGUCACCACCAAGGCAUCGUUGAGUUCGAUAGACAAAUUCUAAGGAAGAAUAACUUUUCAUACUCCUUUCCUACCUUUUUGAAGUUGUUGGCUUUGGUGUACCCUAUCUCUGCAUCAAAGACUAGUUACCACUUGGAAUGAUUUUUUUUUCCCUGAGAUAUCUCAGCCUAUUAGAAUUACAUGCAGGUCUGUGUGUAUCUUGCAUUAAAUUUUCCAGCCUCUUGUUUCUUAUUAUUUUUCUCUUUCAUAGUCUUGCUGUUAGUAAGAAAAAAAACACACCAGAAAUUAUACAUUACAUAAAUCUUUAACCUCAAUUUAUGCUUGCUUUCUUAACUAGUGUGACUUAAUUCAAUGCAUAUACUGAAUGAUUCUUAUUUGUUUAUUAUUAUGAGAUUAGCGAAGAAAUAAGAAUGAUAUCAAAAUGAGGGUGUGUAUGCUCCCAGAGUGAUUGUCCCUGCCAUUUGGUUCUAUGUUUAUGUAGCUAUUACUUUUCUAGAUCUAUGAUACUACUAUGGAAGGAGUGGGCCACCAGUGUCUUUUGGGCUUUAAUAGAUAAGGUCAGCAUUCUUUAGAGAAAAUGGCCCAGUGGCCAGAGUUCUCAUAUACAAAGGAUCUUUGGGCAUCCCUCAUAGGGAUGAUGGACUGUUAGAUCCUUUCUCAUUUUCCUUGGGAUGUAAUUUUCUCUUCUGUACCAAAUAACACAUUCAAACACCCUCUUUGAAUCGGGGUGUUUGGGAAUUUUGGUUCAUUAGAUUUAGCAAUAUGGUUUGAAUCAUUUCUAAGGAUGGAAGAAGGUAAACUCCAAAAGACCAAUCAGGAGCGAAAUCAGAUGCACCAAUGUCUUUAUUCAAACUAGCUCAGGCUUAAACUCGUCACAGAUUCACAGGGUGGUUCUGUGGGAGUGGGGGAAAGCCCUGAACAUUCAUCAAAACAAGGUUUUAUAGAAAGCAGCAAGCAAGGGGGUGAGUGUUUCUAGCCUGGCAAGCAUCUAAUUAGGGUGCUAUUGUGGCCUUUAGCAUAAUUGGCUGGUGCUGGGACCCAAACCACAAACUUAACUUCUGCUUUCUUCCAAAUUGGUGGUCGUUAGGUAGAGUGGGCUUGUUGGGUGUUAAAACUGGAAACUGGCGCUGAAUGCAUUUGUUGGGGUUAGCCUAGAAACUGGCUCAGGUUUUGUUGGAGAGUAACUUAGAUACUGAUGGUAGGUAACCAGCCUGUUAGUUUACUUGAGUUCAAACUUAGGUCAGUUCUCUUAAGAUAGAGUUUGAACCCAAAAAUUUGGUCUCUCACUAUGACUAUGGAGAAUUUGUUCAUAGUCAUUAGAGCCUAUUCUAUGAUGACAGGGUCAGUUUAAUUACUCCUGAUAGCGUCUGGGUGAGUAAGGAUGCAUGUUUCUAUUUUUCCAUUCUACUGAAGAUGGAACUAAAGUAGAGAAGAGAAAGAAUCAUCGGGUAUGUGUGUGGACUCAGCAUAAGGAGCACCUUGGACCCAAACUAUAGUCUGGCCCUUUACCAUGGCAUUGGAAGGUCCUUCUUUAAAACCAAAUCUACUUGGUCAAAAAACAUGUAUCAUUAAUUUGUGUUUGUUAAAUGAAUGAAUCUUUCCCACAAGUACUUUCCUCCCACACAAAUUUAAGUAUCAUCUCUAGGGAACUAAUGGGAAAUUUUCAUGGAACCCAGUUUUGAAUGCUGGCUAUCUCACAAAAAAAUAUUUUUCCUAAGUUUAGUUCUUUUGGUCAAGAAAUCAAAUGUAUAAAGUUGAUUAAGAGAAAUGAAAAGUCUCAUGGAGCAAAUAAAAGCUAGCCAUCC